UAGGGAAUCUUCGGCAAUGGGGGCAACCCUGACCGAGCAACGCCGCGUGAGUGAAGAAGGUUUUCGGAUCGUAAAGCUCUGUUGUAAGAGAAGAACGUGUGUGAGAGUGGAAAGUUCACACAGUGACGGUAACUUACCAGAAAGGGACGGCUAACUACGUGCCAGCAGCCGCGGUAAUACGUAGGUCCCAAGCGUUGUCCGGAUUUAUUGGGCGUAAAGCGAGCGCAGGCGGUUUAAUAAGUCUGAAGUUAAAGGCAGUGGCUUAACCAUUGUUCGCUUUGGAAACUGUUAAACUUGAGUGCAGAAGGGGAGAGUGGAAUUCCAUGUGUAGCGGUGAAAUGCGUAGAUAUAUGGAGGAACACCGGUGGCGAAAGCGGCUCUCUGGUCUGUAACUGACGCUGAGGCUCGAAAGCGUGGGGAGCAAACAGG
rnacentral:rRNA from 1 species